UACGAAGGGGGGCUAGCGUUGCUCGGAAUUACUGGGCGUAAAGAGCUCGUUAGGUGGUUUGUCGCGUUGAUCCGUGAAAACUCACAACUCAAUUGUGGGCGUGCGGGCGAUACGGGCAGACUGGAGUACUGGCAGGGGAGACUGGAAUUCCUGGUGUAGCGGUGGAAUGCGCAGAUAUCAGGAGGAACACCGGUGGCGAAGGCGGGUCUCUGGGCAGUAACUGACGCUGAGGAGCGAAAGCGUGGGGAGCGAACAGG
rnacentral:rRNA from 1 species